rnacentral:rRNA from 1 species
GGGGUAAUGGCCCACCAAGGCAACGACGGGUAGCUGGUCUGAGAGGAUGGUCAGCCACACUGGGACUGAGACACGGCCCAGACUCCUACGGGAGGCAGCAGUGGGGAAUCUUGCGCAAUGGGCGAAAGCCUGACGCAGCAACGCCGCGUGCGGGAAGAAGGCUUUCGGGCUGUAAACCGCUUUCAGCAGGAACGAAAAUGACGGUACCUGCAGAAGAAGGAGCGGCCAACUAUGUGCCAGCAGCCGCGGUGAUACAUAGGCUUCAAGCGUUGUCCGGAUUUAUUGGGCGUAAAGAGUUCGUAGGCGGUCGAGUAAGUCGGGUGUGAAAAUUCUGGGCUCAACCCAGAGACGCCACCCGAUACUGCUUAACUUGAGUUCGAUAGGGGAGUGGGGAAUUCCUAGUGUAGCGGUGAAAUGCGCAGAUAUUAGGAGGAACACCGGUGGCGAAGGCGCCACUCUGGAUCGACACUGACGCUGAGGAACGAAAGCAUGGGUAGCAAACAGGAUUAGAUACCCUGGUAGUCCAUGCGGUAAACGGUGGGCACUAGGUGUGGGUUUCUAUUAACGAAAUCCGCGCCGUCGCUAACGCAUUAAGUGCCCCGCCUGGGGAG